AUUGAACGCUGGCGGCAGGCUUAACACAUGCAAGUCGAGCGAGCGGCGGACGGGUGUGUAAUGUCUGGGACACUGCCUGAUGGCGGGGGUUAACUACUGGAAACGGUAGCUAAUACCGCAUACCAUCAGAUGUGCCCAGGUGGGAUUAGCUAGUAGGUGGGGUAAUGGCGCACCUAGGCGACGAUCCCUAGCUGGUCUGAGGGGAUAACCAGCCAGACCGGAAAUGAGACACGGUCCAGACGCCUACGGGAGGAAGCAGUGGGGAAUAUUGCACAAUGGGCGAAAGCCUGAUGCAGCCAUGCCGCGUGUGUGAAGAAGGCCUGCGGGUUGUAAAGCACUUUCAGCGAGGAGGCGUUACUCGCAGAAGAAGCACCGGCUAACUCCGUGCCAGCCGCCGCGGUAAUUC
rnacentral:rRNA from 1 species